GCGCCCGUAGCCCAACUGGACAGAGCGCUUGACUACGGAUCAAGAGGUUGGGGGUUCGAAUCCCUCCGGGCGCGCCA
rnacentral:tRNA from 1 species